rnacentral:rRNA from 1 species
UGGGGAAUUUUGGACAAUGGGGGAAACCCUGAUCCAGCCAUCCCGCGUGUGCGAUGAAGGCCUUCGGGUUGUAAAGCACCUUUGGCAGGAAAGAAACGUCAUGGGUUAAUACCCCGUGAAACUGACGGUACCUGCAGAAUAAGCACCGGCUAACUACGUGCCAGCAGCCGCGGUAAUACGUAGGGUGCAAGCGUUAAUCGGAAUUACUGGGCGUAAAGCGUGCGCAGGCGGUUCGGAAAGAAAGAUGUGAAAGCCCAGAGCUCAACUUUGGAACUGCAUUUGUAACUACCGGGCUAGAGUGUGUCAGAGGGAGGUGGAAUUCAGCGUGUAGCAGUGAAAUGCGUAGAUAUGCGGAGGAAAACCGAUGGCGAAGGCAGCCUCCUGGGAUAACACUGACGCUGAUGCACGAAAGCGUGGGGAGCAAACAGG